UACGUAGGGUGCAAGCGUUAAUCGGAAUUACUGGGCGUAAAGCGUGCGCAGGCGGUGAUGCAAGACAGAGGUGAAAUCCCCGGGCUUAACCUGGGAACUGCGCUUGUAACUGGCAAGCUAGAGUGUGGCAGAGGGGGGGUGGAAUUCCACGUGUAGCAGUGAAAUGCGUAGAGAUGUGGAGGAACACCGAUGGCGAAGGCAGCCCCCUGGGCUAACACUGACGCUCAUGCACGAAAGCGUGGGGAGCAAACAGG
rnacentral:rRNA from 1 species